rnacentral:rRNA from 1 species
GACGAACGUUGGCGGCGUGCUUAACACAUGCAAGUCGUACGGUAAGGCCCUUUCGGGGGUACACGCGUGGCGCACGGGUGAGUAACACGUGAGUAACCUGCCCACAACUCUGGGAUAGCGCUAGGAAACUGGUGCUAAUACUGGAUAUGUGCUCCUGCUGCAUGGUGGGGGUUGGAAAGCUCCGGCGGUUGUGGAUGGACUCGCGGCCUAUCAGCUUGUUGGUGGGGUAGUGGCCUACCAAGGCGGCGACGGGUAGCCGGCCUGAGAGGGUGACCGGCCACAUUGGGACUGAGAUACGGCCCAGACUCCUACGGGAGGCAGCAGUGGGGAAUAUUGCACAAUGGGCGCAAGCCUGAUGCAGCAACGCCGCGUGCGGGAGGACGGCCUUCGGGUUGUAAACCGCUUUCAGCAGGGACGAAGCUUUGUGUGACGGUACCUGCAGAAGAAGCACCGGCUAACUACGUG